rnacentral:rRNA from 1 species
AUUGAACGCUGGCGGCAGGCCUAACACAUGCAAGUCGAACGAGUGGCGGACGGGUGAGUAAUGUCUGGGAAACUGCACGAUGGAGGGGGAUAACUACUGGAAACGGUAGCUAAUACCGCAUAACAUCGGAUGGACCCAGAUGGGCUUAGCUAGUAGGUGGGGUAAAGGCUCACCUAGGCGACGAUCCCUAGAUGGUCUGAGAGGAUGACCAGCCACACUGGAACUGAGACACGGUCCAGACUCCUACGGUAGGCAGCAGUGGGGAAGAUUGCACAAUGGGCGCAAGCCUGAUGCAGCCAUGCCGCGUGUAUGAAGAAGGCCUUCGGGUUGUAAAGUACUUUCAGCGGGGAGGCGUUACCCGCAGAAGAAGCACCGGCUAACUCCGUGCCAGCAGCCGCGGUAAUUC